GACGAACGCUGGCGGCGUGCCUAAUACAUGCAAGUAGAACGCACAGUUUAUACCGUAGCUUGCUACACCAUAGACUGUGAGUUGCGAACGGGUGAGUAACGCGUAGGUAACCUGCCUGGUAGCGGGGGAUAACUAUUGGGAACGAUAGCUAAUACCGCAUAAUAUUGAUUAUUGCAUGAUAAUUGAUUGAAAGGUGCUAUUUCAUCACUACCAGAUGGACCUGCGUUGUAUUAGCUAGUAGGGGAGGUAACGGCUCACCUAGGCGACGAUACAUAGGCGACCUGGGAAGGUGGUCGGCCACACUGGGACCGAGACACGGCCCAGACUCCUACGGGAGGCAGCAGUAGGGAAUCUUCGGCAAUGGACGAAAGUCUGAACGGGCAACGCCGCGUGAGGGAAGAAGGUUUUCGGAUCGGAAAGCUCUGUUGUAAGAGAAGAAAGGGUGUGGGAGUGGAAAGUUCACACUGUGACGGUAUCUUAUCAGAAAGGGACGGCUAACUACGUG
rnacentral:rRNA from 1 species